GAUGAACGCUGGCGGCGUGCCUAAUACAUGCAAGUCGAGCGAACAGACGAGUAGCUUGCUCCUCUGACGUUAGCGGCGGACGGGUUAGUAACACGUGGAUAACCUACCUAUAAGACUGGGAUAACUUCGUGAAACCGGAGCUAAUACCGUAUAAUAUAUUGAACCGCAUGGUUCAAUAGUGAAAGACGGUUUUGCUGUCACUUAUAGAUGGAUCCGCGCCUCAUUAGCUAGUUGGUAAGGUAACGGCUUACCAAGGCAACGAUGCGUAGCCGACCUGAGAGGAUGAUCGGCCACACUGGAACUGAGACACGGUCCAGACUCCUACGGGAGGCAGCAGUAGGGAAUCUUCCGCAAUGGGCGAAAGCCUGACGGAGCAACGCCGCGUGAGUGAUGAAGGUCUUCGGAUCGUAAAACUCUGUUAUUAGGGAAGAACAAAUGUGUAAGUAACUAUGCACGUCUUGACGGUACCUAAUCAGAAAGCCACGGCUAACUACGUG
rnacentral:rRNA from 1 species